rnacentral:pre_miRNA from 1 species
UUAAAAAAAAAACUUAGAUUUUCGUGUUCAACAUUUUAUUGUUCAUUUUAUAUGAAUUUUUUUAUAAUUAGUAUUUUCAUUGUUGUUAGAUGAUAAAACAUAAUUAAUACUUUAUAGAUAACUUGUCUUUUCUAAUUUUUUUCUAAAUAAUAUGGACGGUUAAACGUUGGACACGGAAACCUAU